rnacentral:misc_RNA from 1 species
AUUUUCUUGCGAGGCCAUCAUUUCAUUUUCGUUGAUAUCUGUUAUCAAAAAUGCGCUUUGCCUUGUGAGCUACCAGCGUCUUUCCAUUCACAUGAAGCGGCGCUGAUAAUGAACGAUGGAAGAGAGCAAGUAAUAGCACUGCUACGAGAGCUUGAAGCGACUGCUAUUCCAAAGUUCGUCGACAGCGGAGAGGCACUCACAUACAUGGCGUACAAGGAUGGAGUUCUUGAAAAAGCAAUCACACUUCUGAACGCAGCGCAUAUUGAGCCCAAAGCAAGUAGCAUUCAGCCGCUGCGUGUCAACAGUGAACAACUUGCUAACGCUGUUAUCGAGCGUGUAUUUGAUGCGCAUACCCGAGUGCUGCGGUCGAAGCUCGCCGAAGCUGAAAAAGCAGCUGACAUGUGGAAGAAGGUUGCUCUUUGCGGAGGCGCUGAGGAGGAAAAGUCGGCGCGCCACACCGCUCUUGCACAAUCGACCUUGUGCGUUCCAGCUCGAGUCUCGGUCGGCUCGCAAGUCUGCAGUAUAGAUGAAGAUGCAGCUGCCUCCGACAGCAACACGAGCGUGCAACAGUGCAAGCUCGUCUGUGAGGCAGUAAAGGAAUGGCUGGCAGGCUGGACUACGAAAAUGAUGAGUACUGUAGGCGAGAAACUACAGCUGUGGUGCUCCUCGCAGCUUGGCCUCACUCCCGUGAGGAUAAGCCAACACGAGCAUGAAGUGAGACGUCCUAGCCUCGAUGACAGCUUGAUGGUGUUGGACAGUCGAAACUCAGCGAGCCAUGCACCUCGCAAGAUCGAUAAUGCAAGGUUGCACGGAGGAAAUAUUUCAAGCGCUGGAAAGAGCAAAAUAAGUGAACAAAAGACAUCGUCAUCUCUUGUUCUUUCACCUGGUGAAAAUCCUGUGCAGCCCUUGAUCCUUUCUCCUUUGGAUGCAGCCGCUUCCAGUGGGCCGACGCCGAGUCACCCUAAAGUGGGUACGCAUUCCCCUCAGUAUGCUCAGCCUGGAUCACAGCUGUACGUUAUGCGGACAAUGAGUUUGAAGGCGCGUACGAAGCAACUCAUCGGCAAGCAGCAGGCCACCAACUCGAGCACCCCAGUAAGUCGAAUGCCCCAUCUACCACAUAUAUGACAGAUGAGGACGGCGUUCUUUUUGUUCAUGCUUUUACUAUAUCUGACUUUUCUCCCUUUUUUUUAUUCUCAUCUCGGUGGGCAUUACCCUCGCCUGAAAAG